UACGUAGGGGGCAAGCGUUGUCCGGAAUUAUUGGGCGUAAAGCGCGUGUAGGCGGCCCUGCAAGUCGGAUGUGAAAUCCCACGGCUCAACCGUGGAAGUGCAUUCGAAACUGCAGGGCUAGAGUCCUGGAGAGGAAGGUGGAAUGCUUGGUGUAGAGGUGAAAUUCGUAGAUAUCAAGCGGAACACCGGUGGCGAAGGCGGCCUUCUGGACAGUGACUGACGCUGAGACGCGAAAGCGUGGGGAGCAAACAGG
rnacentral:rRNA from 1 species